rnacentral:tmRNA from 1 species
GGGGGUGAACGGUCUCGACUUUGGAUGUUGAGGCAGGGGAAGCGGGCCGAGGAAGCCAGGAUGAUCUCGUUAACCAAUAACCUGUGCAAAAACAUAAACGCCGAUAACAAUCGCGUUGACUUCGCUCUCGCUGCCUAAGCGAGCUCCCUAGUCCGUUAGCCUGAGUGAGCCUUCGAUUCAGGGUCUAGCGUCGCCAGAAGGCUUUUCAUGGUGUUGGGGUUACAGACAACAUCAGAGAACAGUUCUGUAACUGAGUCCGUCGAAUACUUGUGUGUAAGAGAUUCGGGACUGAGAAAGCGAUAAGCGCACUACGCCCGUAGAAGCCCUGUUUUAGUACCGAAGGACCCGGGUUCGAUUCCCGGCACCUCCACUU